ACUCAUAUAACCUGAGGAUUCAGGUUUGAAUCCUCCGAGUGGGAUUUUCUUCUUUUUCAAUUUUUAGAAAAUUACCAUUAUAUCCCUGGCAGCAUAAGAUAUUUUUAUUCCCUUCCCCAGUCAGCGUUCACGGAACCAUCGGGGAGAGAGAGAGAAUUCUGGGACCAGAAGUUUCGUUCUUGUCUUCUCCUUCCUCUGCCUCAUCGCGUCGUCGGCACGGGAGCAUCAGAGUCCCGUCCGCCGUUGCCGAGGUGUUUGUGCGACCUUCCUCCUUCCUUCCUUGUUCUGCACCUCUAUUUUACAGAGAGCUCCAGAAACCACCGAGAAAAUGAGAGAACUUUGGUCUUCCUCCACCUACUUCUUCUAUCAUAAGCGUCGCCGUUCGUCGCCGUUCGUGUCUGCUUCUUUGGGGUAUAACUGUUUAGGAUUUCAGUUAUCAUCCUUCAUGUCUCUGUUCGACGUCCCCAGUCGGUGUAUGUGUCGGAGGUUGUGUGAGGAGCUUGGUCGUUGGAGAAGCUUGUGGUGCUGCUGUUAUAUGUUACCGGCAGCCUCUCAUUUGCCUUCCUCGUUGCAGCUAUGUCAGAAUCCCCUCCUCCCCUGUUCAAUGUUGUGCGAUCCUUUUUCUCUCCUUGCUUUUUCUGCUGCUGAUUGAAGGUGUUUAGAAGAAAGAGGACUUGACUUUAAAGAGGGAAUUUGCACUUGGGGACUUUAUGGAUUCAUUAGUUGACGAUGAACCUCCUGCCGAUCAUUGAAAAGCUUGCUUCUGUAUUAGCUCUUCCUGUAUGGUCCAAACAAGAUUGCCAGAAGGAUUUCAACACAAAAUGUGAUAGCCAGCCAGCCAGCCUAGCUGUUUCUUUUUUUCCUUAUCUUCUGUAAUGGCCCUACCGCUGUACGACUCCUAACAGCGUACUGUUAUGCCAUGUUUUGCACGAGCUCUCUGUGAUACAACUUGUUCUUCCCUUUUGCUUAUAUUUGGCGGAUCCCAAAAGUUAUUUUGAUAUUAGUUUGGGAAAAAAAACUUCAUGCCUAACUGUUUGAAGAUUUAUGACUUCAUGAUAUUGCUGCAUUAUUGCAGGGUAUAAAAGCAGCACUGAUUUUACUUGUCGGCAAAUUUUGCACUUCCAUGACUAGACGCAGCUGCAAUAGGCUGGACAUUGGAAGUGGAGUAUAGUGAUUCUAUUAAAGGUUAAUAAUACCAUGUGAAGCAGUACUGAUGGGUGUCUAAAGGGAAGAAAGUGAAAGAAGGAUUUGGGAUCGUUGAGGUUUCGUUUGCAGUAUCUUUUUAGUUACACCCACACAUUUCCUUUUUGUGAUAUCUUGUUAGGUAUACUAGUUGUUUUGGAUUUCCUUGUAGUGGAACGUAGUGGCUGCACAAAGAAAGGCCUCGUAAGAAGGAUGCUUGCUAUGUUAAGCGUCCAAUGUUUCUGUGGAGCUGUCAUUGUUGGGAAAUCCAAUAUUCAUGAAGUUAAGGGAGGUACUAAUGUUUUAUUAUCAAUUUCAUUCUUUAAGUUGAAGUUAGUUGAUUUUUAGUUACCAUGACAAUUUUUUAAGGAAUAAAUUUAUUUAGCA